AAAUGGAAAUGCCUUCUCAGCUGAAAUAAGGAAAGAGACAGAUAUUUUUGGAUCAAACUUUGAACCCCAUUUGGGAAGACAGAAAAGGGGCUGGACUGAUGGACCGUCAACAAUAAUGUCAUAGAGUUUUUUUCCAUGUCAGUGACCUCACUUCUGGCUGGGCUUCUUUCAGAAAUAUCCUCAUUCAAGUAAUCUACUUAUGCCAUGUUUAUAGAGAGAGCAAAGCAGGACCCAAACGCAGGGAGGCAAUAAAACGGGCUUUAAUAAAUAAAUCAAACAAAGUACAAACCAAAAAAUCUCACAAUGGAAAAAAAACGAUAGAAUUCAAACACUGGCAAAUGAAUACUCAGAACAAGACUGAAGUAAACAACAGCAACCGACCAACUGGAGAUACACACGACAAAGCACAAUGAUAACAAACGAUUCGAACCAGGACUAGGGGAUCUUAAGAAGGAAAGGGUUGAUAGGGAGCAACCUGCUGCCGCUGCUGAUGGAUUAAUUGGAGAACGAGCUGUUGUCUGGAUACCUGCAAGACACAAGAGGGAGCUGGUGAAUCCGCUGCCGCAGGUGUGGGCAUGAAGUCUUGGCCGGUCUGCUGGAGCUGUGGGGAACCUGGGCACUUCCAGGACCGAUGCCCUGCAACGGAGGUGGAGACAUAGGUCCGGGUCCCCGACACGCCACAGGCUGCCCCCGAUUGAGCAGGAGCAUACUGGAUACCUACAGACAUGUCGGACAGGGGGUUGGUGGCUGUAUUAUCCCAGAUAGUGAAGGGGGGGCAGCACCCCUUGCUGUACAUCAGUCGGAAGCUCUCGGUGCAAAAGACGAAGUACAGCAUGAUUGAGAAGGAGUGCCUGGCCAUCAAAUAGGCGGUCCUCACCCUCCGGUUCUACCUGCUUGGGAGGGCCUUCACCUUCUGUUCGGACUACACCCUGCUCCAAUGGCUCCAUGGCAUGAAGGAUGCCAACACGCGGAUCACCCAUUGCUAUCUGGCUCUCCAGCUUUUUAAGUUCAAGGUGGACCACAGGCCUGAAUUUUCUCAAUAAAAUCACUUUGUGCCCUAGUCUGUAGUGUGGGACCUGACAGAUUCAUUAUACUUAUCUAUAACUAAUCCUAAUAGCACUUAUAAUACUAUGUAUCUUAAUUACUAUAUUCUAUGCAUUCAGAAACAUGCAAGCUGCUGCAAACUGCAAAGUGAUAAGGCUGUUGUACAGGAGAUCUGAAUAUGACUCAUGAAGCCUGAUUAUUUGCACAAUGCAAUGGCCCAAAAUGGCAUUGAUACACUGACUAAAGAAAUUACCACUCCCUAAAUAACUGCCAACACAUGCAGUUUUACAAAGCCUGUUAAUUAUAUAGACAAAGUGCACAAUGGGUAGCUAAAAAUGAAUUGAAAAUGUUAAAUAUCUCUUGAAAGGGCAAAUAAAAGAUUAUUUUGAAAUACUUACUGCCUCUACUGAAAACAUCACUUAUGAAAUAACAUUUGAAUAGUUGUGGGAGGCCAUAAAUUGUAAGCACAAGAGACAAGUUAAAACAGCACUGUGAGAAGCAUACAUCACAGUCUGCCUAAAUUCACCUUUGCUUUUUAUUGUACAAUGAUGAUGUGCUACACAAUGCCGUGGGAGGUUUCAUGUAGGGCCUUUUCAUCAACUUGAUGUUUAUUUA